rnacentral:rRNA from 1 species
CCUACGGGCGGCAGCAGUGAGGAAUAUUGGUCAAUGGGCGCAAGCCUGAACCAGCCAAGUCGCGUGAGGGAUGACGGUCCUAUGGAUUGUAAACCUCUUUUGUCGGGGAGCAAGGCCCGCCACGUGUGGCGGGAAGGAGAGUACCCGAAGAAAAAGCAUCGGCUAACUCCGUGCCAGCAGCCGCGGUAAUACGGAGGAUGCGAGCGUUCUCCGGAUUUAUUGGGUUUAAAGGGUGCGUAGGCGGAAGGUUAAGUCAGCGGUAAAAUGUCGGUGCUCAACACCGGCCUGCCGUUGAAACUGGUCUUCUUGAGUGAGCGAGAAGUAUGCGGAAUGCGUGGUGUAGCGGUGAAAUGCAUAGAUAUCACGCAGAACUCCGAUUGCGAAGGCAGCAUACCGGCGCUCAACUGACGCUGAGGCACGAAAGCGUGGGGAUCGAACAGGAUUAGAUACCCCAGUAGUC